rnacentral:rRNA from 1 species
UCAGACGAUGCGUCAUGCAUAUCAAUAAGCGGAGGAAAAGAAACUAACUAGGAUUCCCUCAGUAACGGCGAGUGAAGCGGGAAGAGCUCAAAUUUGAAAUCUUCAAGGUUCUACCUUGACGAAUUGUAGUUUAAAGAAGUGUUUUCUGUUGGAGUUUUGGUAAAAGUUCUUUGGAAUAGGACAUCAUAGAGGGUGAGAAUCCCGUAUUUGACCAUUAUUUCUAGCUUUGUGAUACACUUUCAAAGAGUCGGAUUGUUUGGGAAUGCAGUCCAAAAUGGGUGGUAAAUUUCAUCUAAAGCUAAAUAUUGGCGAGAGACCGAUAGCGAACAAGUACCGUGAGGGAAAGAUGAAAAGAACUUUGAAAAGAGAGUUAAACAGUACGUGAAAUUGUCAAAAGGGAAGCGUUUGACACCAGUGUUGUUUUCUCGAAAAUCAAUUAAAAAAGGCAGGAUUUUGUGUUGUAUUGACUUUAUCAGCUUUCUGCACUCUUUUCUUGUCUUUUUUUAAUGCACUUUUCGUUUAACAAGUCGACAUCAAUUUCUUUUGUUGUAAAAGGGUCAUUGGAAGGUGGCCUUCUUUUCGGAGAAAGUGUUUAUAGCCUUCUAGCCUCUGCAAUCGGAGAGAUUGAGGUCUGCAGCGUAGAUCCUUCGGGGUUAGAUACAUUUGUGCUAAGUUAUAGUAUUUUAUAGACAACUUGUUGACUAUAGAUUAGUCAUUGUAGCUUACUCGCUUAUACUAUUUUACCUACGCUUAGGAUGUUGAUCUACAGAGCGAGAGU